rnacentral:rRNA from 1 species
UACGUAGGGUGCAAGCGUUAAUCGGAAUUACUGGGCGUAAAGCGCGCGUAGGCGGCUUUGCAAGCCGGAUGUGAAAUCCCCGGGCUUAACCUGGGAACUGCAUUCGGGACUGCAUUGCUAGAGUAUGGGAGAGGGAAGUGGAAUUUCAGGUGUAGCGGUGAAAUGCGUAGAUAUCUGAAGGAACAUCAGUGGCGAAAGCGACUUCCUGGACCAAUACUGACGCUCAUGUGCGAAAGCGUGGGGGAGCAAACAGG